AGCCAUUUCUGAGGGAAUAGUUGGUGUGAAGAAGAAGAAGGAGUCUCGCACAGAUUAUAACCAUACCACGUGCCAUUGGGGAUGGAGGUAUUGAAAUCGAAAGUAGUAGGCUCUGAGUUGUAGCCAUAGAUUUUCACACUCUCAGGCUCCCAACCUUCCUCUGCCCCAGAUCUAUAUAGGUACACAUAGCAAAUUGGAGAUGCACAUGCACCAUCUAUCUGAAAUGUAUCUGAAGAACACUGCUCAAAUGUUCUUGAAAUUGGAUCAUCCAGUCUUGGUUCAUAUACCUGAUAAAUAAUAGUAAUAUUGAAAACAUAAACAAAAUAAAGUUUCAAGUUGCUCCAUAAUUAAGCUUCCUUAACCAGUAUAUGUAGAAAAAUACUAGUGUGUUUUUAAGAGCUCAAUCAUCAAGUUGGCUAGCAUAAACGACCACUUUUGUUUUUAAAUAAGCUAAAUCAAUAAAUCGGCUCUUCCUAAUUCACAUUUCACUUUCAAAAGUGCUCUUUGCAUGUGCAAUUUACAAACUUGGGUUUUAAGUCAUCAAGCUAUUUAUUAGUGUUUUAGUCAAAUCCCCCAAAAAAAAGUCAAAUUCAAAAAUGUAUUCAAUCACAGAAACAUUCCAAAGUGACUAUCUUUUCAUAAAGAUAUUUUUUUAAAGACAUUUUCAUAAAGAUAUUAAGUAGUUACAAAUAAACUAUUGAUAUGAUAACCAUGAAACUUGAUAUUUCCCGCUACAUAAUCAAAAUAUAACAACUAUACUAAAUCACAAUAUAUUAUCAUAUAUUGUAACAGUUUAUAACUCUUUUGAGAAACAAGAGAUUCAUCAAUAUUUCCUUCAAAAUCAAAUCUUGAACCCGUUAAAUACACUCCACAAUAAAUAAUGAGAUUGAUUGAAGGAAAAAAUGCAAAACCUGGUUGCCAUAAGAAUCCCCAAACGUAAUACCGAUCUUAUCCGCAGUGAACUUGGGCGAUGAACAACUUGUAGAUAUAACUACCAGGUAAGAACAGUUCGCUGCAGUCUUCAUCUUUUAAACACACAAAUAACAAAACAAAACAUUAUAUAUUUAGCCUUCAUAUUAUGCAUAUAUAUAAAACAACACCAAAAUAAAAUAGAAAAAAGGGUUUAAUUUAUUUUUUAAAAAAAAUCAGAAUUUUAGUACCUGAAUAUAUUCAACAGAGAAAGAUUCAGCUGCAUGAGGAUGCACAGAAGCAGAUUUGGACUCCGAUACUGAAAGGGUCAGUGCAGAGGCAAAGCAGAACAAAAAAAGAACAAGCUUUAUCAUUUUUUUUUUCUCUCAGAAACUUAAACCCCCGUCCCCCAAAAUUAAAACUCAAAAGAGAAGAGUAAUUUGAACUCUGAAAAAUGUAGUCAAAGUUCAACGACUCUUUGUUCUGCUUUGCAAAACACUGACUAGUCACCACUAUGGUAUUUAUAUUCUUCACCGCACCGUAUAGACGGCAAAAGGAAAAACGUCGUCGAAUGAAGAAACCUAAUUUUGUUUGAUUAUUGAGCGCAACCAUUUUCCUGGUCAAAACAUCCACUCGCUAAUGCCCAAAUAACAUGGACUAGAACGUGUACAAUACCAAUUGGUAGAAAUAAGCCAUUUCUCAUGUUAUUACGAACACAUUGUGACUUCUCAUGAUUACUCUACUAUUAUCCAUGUGAGAAACAUUCGUUGAUUGUUUUGCAGAAAAAAGAAAAGACCAACUGCGAAUGAUCUUUAUUAUUGAACCCACAAUUGUUUCGGUGUCACUCUUCUUCAUUGGCUACUGUUUUCUGAAAAGAAAAGCAAGGGAAAGUGCCUAGGACUAUUCUUAGAGAAAACUGUAUGUAUUGUUAACGAAUAGCAUGUUAAACCAUUGCCUUUUUAGUUUGAAGAUCUUUAACAACUACUUUUUUUCCGAAUUCAAUCAUAUAUAUUAAAUUCAGUUGGUCAUGAAAGUGUCACUUUAGAGCCCUUGCAAUUCAAUUUGGUUGUAAUUGAAGCAGCAACGAACUACUUUUCAAAUGAAAAUAGGAUAGGGAAAGGUGGAUUUGGAGAAGUAUACAAGGUGAGAAAAUGUAGUAUAUACUAAUUUUGUGCCCUUAUUUUUCACAUAAAUAAUGAUUUAACUGUCAGGGCAUUCUUCUGGAUGGACAACAAAUAGUAGUAAAAAGACUAUCAAAAAGCUCAAAGCAAGGUGCAAAUGAGUUUCAAGAAUGAAGUUUUAUUUGGUUUUUGUGUAAAAGAUUAAAAAAGAUACUUAUUUAUCAAUAUGUGUCAAACAAGUCUUAACUACCUUUUAUUUGUUUUGACAUUUAUCACCCUUAAACAUGUUAUUUGGUUUUGAUUCAUGCAUUGCAGCUGGCACAUAUAUAUUUAAUUGAAUAAAACUAAUGGAUUUCGAAACAUUUUCACUUACAUUUCUCAUUUAAACAUGCAGAUUUCAAUGAGCAAAAUUGUUAAACUAGUUUAAAUAUUAUAAUAUAUUAUAACAUUAUAGGAAAAAUUGUUAAAAGAAUUCAUUAUUUACAUAAAUUAUCAUAAUUUAAAGUCAUACAUCUUCAUCUCAAAUCUAAUAAUAUUUUAUUUGAUAAAAAUAUGAUUUCAAAAAUUUGAGAUUUUGAUUUGACUAGAAUUAUUAAAUAAAUUAAAAGCAAGAGAGUACGAAUAGAAUUAGUGGAACAUAGUAAAUUUGAAACAAUAUUAUUCCUUAUCGUUUAAUUUCUUACUUCUUCACAUAGUAUUAUUUUUUGUUAAAUUAACUAUUUGUUAUUUUUUUAUUUACAGUGGUUACAUGUCACUCUUCAGGUAAUAUCUUAUUUUUCCAGUGUCUUUUAAUGUUUGAGGUAGGCUAAGUACUCAUUUUGGUGUCAUUAAUCCCUAAAAAAUAAAAAAAAUCAAAUUUAUUUUUUGGAUGUGUAAAAAAUAUGACAGAUUAAUCUUGUGAAUAAUUUAAUGAUAAAUUAGUCUCUAAAUAUUGUAAUUUAUUAUACAAUUAAUCUUCAAACUUUUUAAAAAUACUCUUUUUUAGUAAAAUAAAAAACUUGUUUAUGUUUCAACAAGGUCUCUAUGAUGUUAAUUUAUUUGUAGGAAACCUAUUAACUUGGGUGCGUAAUUUCAACGAAGCAUUCCUGCUCCGAUCCAUUUCAUUACCAAACACUCAAUUGAUGCAAAGGAAUUAAUUGAUACUGAAUAGUAACCCAUUGAUUCAAAGACACUAUUGGAUGCCAAACUUUCUCAUCCGUUCAUUAUUUUCCUUAUCACUUGUUUUCUCUUGACUUGCAUAAUCAUUGACUUACUUUUCAAACCGAGCAAGACGUUUUUAUACUAUACCAUCAUAAAGGAAACGAAGAUGGAGUUGUUUACAAACCAUAAACCAAUAGCAUCCAUGGCUUCCCACAAGAUUCUCUUCCUCUUCAUCCUUCUUGGCUUCCUCAAUUUUGCAACUACUGAGCCACAGGAUCAAAGCUCCACCCCUUUCUAUUUAUCCCAUGCCUGCAACGUUGACAACUCUAUCGCUAACAGUGCCUUCCAAUUUAACGUCAGGACCCUCCUCUCUUCCUUGUCAUCAAACGCCCCCGGCGACAACGGAUUCUACAACACCACAGUCCCUUCACAAAACCCCACAGACUCUGUCUUUGGACUCUUCAUGUGCAGGGGUGACGUUCCUCCUCGGCUUUGUCAACAAUGCGUCCAAAAUGCAACCCAGUAACUACGCUCACAGUGCUCACUGUCCAUUCAACCUGUGAUUUGGUACGAUGAGUGCACGGUUCGUUAUUUCAACCGAUCCUUCUUCUCCACCGUGGACACUACACCUAGAUUUGCCCUGUUGAACACUGCAAAUAUCUCAAACCAGGAAAGUUUCAUGCGUUUAAUGUUUUCUACAAUAAACAAAACUGCAGAUGAAGCUGCUAAGGAUGACAAGAAGUUUGCCACAAGGCAAACAACCAUAUCUGAAUUUCAGAACCUUUAUUGUCUAGCUCAGUGCACUCCAGAUUUGUCACCCCUUGAUUGCAGAAGCUGUCUCAGUAAAGUGAUAGGAAACCUUCCAUUGUUCUGUGAAGGACAGCAGGGAGCGAGAGUUCUAUAUCCCAGUUGUAAUGUUAGGUAUGAUUUGUACCCUUUCUACCGCUCCACAAAAAGAACUAAACCACCAGCGUGGGUUCCUGCAACAAAUUAUCCUGAUGCAGAUUCACAAAUUUCAGAAGAUCCAACUUAUCUAAACCACAGUUGCCCAACCAAUGUAACUGUUGACACCACUUUCCAAAUGUAUCUCAAGACCCUUCUCUUUUACUUGUCUUCCAAUGCCACAAAUGGGAAGAAAUACUACGAGGACAACGUAGAGCAAACUGUGUAUGGCCUCUUCAUGUGCCGAGGCGAUCUUCCCUCUCAACUCUGCCAACAAUGCGUCCUCAACGCAACCCAGCGAAUAUCCUCAGUUUGCAAUUCAGUUCAAGAGGGAAUCAUUUGGUACAGCCACUGCAUGCUUCGAUAUUCCAAUUGGAAUUUCUUCUCGGAGUUGGAAGAAAGUCCAAAAACUGACAUUCUGAGCGUUACCAUUCCCUCCACCGGCCCCAUCCCUGAGCAAGACUUCUUCAAUUAUACAAUAUCAAAUACCAUAGUUAAGCUGGCGGAAGAGGCAGGGAAUAACACUGAGAGAUAUGCAACCAAAUCAUUAAAAUUGACUGAUUUUCAAACUCUGUAUACUCUUGCUCAAUGCACGCAGGAUUUGUCUAGUGAUGAUUGUCAGAAAUGUCUGGAAGAUAUAAAUAGAAAUAUUCCAUGGUUCCGCUAGGGAAGCGUAGGGGGAAGAGUUCUAUAUCCGAGCUGCAAUCUCAGGUUUGAAUUCUUCCAAUUUUACAGGGGUAGUGAAUCGCCAAUGCCGGGUAAUCCUUCUACACCAGGAAAGUUGACCAGUAAUAUUUGUUUAUCUUAUUUUUCUUGGUCUCUUUAGUUUUAGUAGUAGUCUUUUUUGGUUAAUUUCCGGGAGAUAGAAAUUUGCUUUCUGCCACUACACUUGUAUUACAAUCAUAGCAUAUCACUGUUUUAGUUCCUAGAAUUAUCAGACAUUGUGAACUUACGACUUAAUUCUGCUGUCUUUUUUCAAACUGUCAUGUAUUAUUUCUUCAAAACAAUAUGGUUUUCAUGAUUUUCAUAAAAUGGGUUCAGAAUUAAAUAUUAACGCAACAGUUAUAUAAUAUUGUUUUGAAUAAUCAGCAUAGAGACAACUUAUAAAGAGACGGCAGAUAAGUCAGAUCCAUGAACUUAGUUUGUGAAAUUAUUAAAAUUUAAAAUCAUCCAUCUAGUUAGUUUAAGUGUAACCCUAAAAGAAGUUAGUACAAGUGUCAACCCCAGUCAACUAAUGAUAUCCUGGUGGCUCUUGUGUUAGCCCACACAUGGAAAACUAGUCAUAGCAACCAUCUUUACAACAUUUCUUUUACAACGUUCACCUGCUUUCCUCUUCUUCUUUCAUUCUAUUCCAAAAAAACAUCCCUAGAAUCGAUCUACAAUAUUACAUCUCCAAGAAGAACAACACAAAGGCAACGAUAAUGGACAAUUGCGUAUCAAAGAUAGAAUAAAAGAUCAAAGUGGAAGUUGAAGUGUAUAUACAAAGUUCAAGGGUCAUUGGUUGGAAAAAUAAGAGUUGUAUUUGCAAUCUUGCUAUGUGAUUUAAGAGCAUCUAUUUGAACCUCAAAAACUUAGAGGAAUCCAGGGAAGGCUUUCUAUACAUGACUUGUUUUUCUAGUCAUUUACCAUUGAGUUUGAAGAUGUGACACCCUCUACCCCUCACAUAUAUACUAAUAAGGAAUAAAAAAUUCAAUAUUAAUUAAAAGUAUUUUUAAAACAUUUUUUUUACAAGUCUUUCAAAGGGGAAAAAGGUUCACAUUCAUUUUUCUUUUACAUCAUAUUCAAACUUGUCCAAAUAAAUAAUAAAGUAUUCUCGACUCAACAAGGUCGUCUAAGCUUCAUACAAUUAAUAUAGAAUAUAUAUCCUAAUGUCACAUCCUAUCAGAGCGUUGUGUUCCCGUGUCCUCUAGCAUGAGAUUCUUCAUAGUCAUCCACCUAUUUUCUGCUCUCCCAGACACAAGUUCAAGAUCAUCACAGGAUCCAAACACAACCACACACAGGGAGUGAGUUAUCACAUUCCUAGCUAAUAGAGAAACAAGACAAUUAAAUAUACAUGUUAUAUAAAUGAGAUACCACUUGUUUAAACAUAGCUCACGUAACUUCAUCACUUCGUCAUUCAAAAUUCACUUUUCAAUCAUCAAUCACAUUACACAAGAAUCUCACACUCUGAUCAAGAUAUAAUAACACAUCAAUUAGCAAGCAUAUGCAACAGUUAUGCUAAGACUCAAUCCUAUAUGCAAUGUGGUACCAUGUCAGUGAAAAACCACCCUGGCGCACUUAGGAGUACAUAACAAGACACACCACACAAUAAGUUUGUCAGGUGACUCUCACUAAGUAAGAUCAUAGGGAGACCAGUCAGGGUCACGAUGUUUUGCGAGAAUGCUCCAACCAUAUGAGAUCAGCAUAGGCUUAAAGGAGUCUGUCAGGGCCUCUCCCUCCUGAUUCAGGUCCAACCCCUAAAAUAAUUUUUGCAUGCAGACACUGCUCAUGAAUUAUACAAUACCCACGACCUUACACUCGUGUCUUAAACACGUUCAACACAAUUGCGCUACGAUUUAACACUGGUUCCUAAAUAGAAAACCUACAUUUUCUCUUUAACACUGCGUAUCAACGCUUUUCUCAAGAUAACACUGGUCGGGUUAUUCUACAAUUCAUAGCUUACAACACAAGUAAUUUCACAUCAAGUGUUAAUUACACACUUAUCCACAACUAGAACUCAUUCACAAUUUCACUUCUCAUAGUGUGACAAUCCACUAUCACAUGUUUACACGUAUCUCACAAAUUAACACAUGUUCAACUUUACACUUAUACUCAAUCUCAAUAACAAUAUUAUAAUCUCAAAGCAACAUGUUAUUCUACAAUUCAUCACAUACUCACAAUUUGAAUCAUCAUUUCUUAUUCUCAAUAUAACAAUUUAUAUAAAAGACCAUCACAACAUGAGGACUAAAACCCCUCAAAUAAUAUUACACAAUUAUAUCAAAAUCAUAGGUCGAAACAUACAAAUAUCAAGAGCACAAUUUAUCAAGCAAUCUUCAUUAGGACAUCAAUAUUUUAUUUAUAAUCAUAAAGGAAAAAUUGUAAUUUAAAAAAACAUUCCAAAAUAAAACCCAAAUUUAAUCCUCUAAGGAUCCCUACACAUGUUCUCACUAAUCCUCAAUUGUGAAUAACUCAUCCCUUAUCUCUAAGCGGACUCACGUGUCUUCCGACAGCGAUAACAACAUCUCCAGCGGUUUCCUAAGAUUCCUCCAGUUUCUCCUCCGACUGCUGCUCCGAUAGGGUUCCCAAACGUCAGAGAAACGUAAAAGGGAUUGAAGCCUCCAUUUGGACUAUCUUCAUGCGAUUCCUUUUUCUCUGUCCACGAACAUCAUCUCACAAAUCCCAACGGUCAAAGCGUGCGAAAUUUAAUUUCGAACAACAUAUCCAAAUUUCACAAUGAUCCAAUGGUUAACGAAACCGGGAUCGUAGUUUUACCAAGACAGCUCUGGGUUUCUACGGGAAAGAAAAAGGCUACAAUGCGAAGGGUGUUUCUCUCACUUAAGACAUGAUAUCAAAAUUCCCAACGGUGAACAUGCUUGGAAUUGUGUUGCGAACGUGGUGCUCAAAUUUCACGACGAUCCAACGAUGAAUAAGUCCGAGAUCGUCGUUUUUCUGACACAGGUUUGAUGGGCUGCGGAAAAAAAGAAAGAGUUUUGAGAGGAGAAGGGAAAAAACGAGAAUGAGGGAAAAAAGAAACAGUGUCCGUGUGAAAACUGACCUAACACUAUUUAUAGUUAUGUUUACUCUAUUUAUUUAUUAUUUUAUAAAGAUAAACUCUAUUUUAUUCUCUAUCAAACAAAUAAAUAAAAUACCCUUUUUAUUUUCUCUCAAAUAAUUAUUUUAAUUAAUAAUUAUAUCUCCUUAUUUAUUUAUUUAUAGAAUCUCAUCAUUUUUCUCAAACUCUAUUUAUUUAUAAAUAAAAAUUAUUUUUUUAAAUUAGCAUACGAAAAUGGGAUGUUACGGAAGAUGCACUCAAUUUCCACUUAUGCCUUUUUUUGUUUUAUAAUUUUGUCAGCAAAUAUGAACUAUAUAUAACUAUAUCAAGACUAAUAGAGUAGGUUGGAGUAUAAAUGUGAGAUAAAGUAUUACGUCGAGUAAAAAUGAAAAAGUUAGAAUAUUAUAUAACUGAAAAAAAUACUCAUAAACAUAAGUCUUAAAGUUUUAAGUUAAAAUAUAAUAUCAAGUUCAGUUGUAUGAUUCUUUAUGAUCUAUUAUUAAUUUAUAUUCAUAAAUUCUUUUUGUGAAGAAAUUUUGUCAAUCUAACCACAUCUUUUAUUCAUGUAAUUUUUUUCUAUCUUUUAUGUGUUUUAAGUUGAGAUUAGCAUUGUUAAUUUAAAGUCCUUCUUGCAUCAAUCUAAUACUCUAAACUUUUUAGCUCACUAUUUUUUUAUAUUUUACACUUUUACUUAUCCACCCUUAAAAUGAUUUGAAGUGAUUUAGCACAAACCAUUAGGACACAAUCUUUAUUGAUAUGAUAAGAAGAAGGUAAAAAAAAAAAAAAAAAGGAAGAGGAAAAGUAGAUUAUUUUGAUUGGAUGUUGAUGAUGAGUUUGAUCAUUAAUUUACAAAAUAAAUAUAACAUUAAAAUUUAGAAUGAUCAAGCAAAUCAAUGUUAUAUGUCAUUCUACGUUCAAAUUUAGUUUGAAUGGUUCAAUAAUUGAUUAUUUAGCACUGCCCUUAAUUAGCUUGGCCAAAGUAACUACUUACAAAUUCCUAGUGUAAGAUGGACUAGAACGAGGCAUACUAUUUGGAGGAAGCAAACCACUAGUACUUCUCAUAUUAUGAAGUUGUCUAUUAUAUACUACUAUAUGUGAGCAAUAUGUUGACUGUUUUGCAGGUAAAAGAAAAGUCCGAUUGCGAACAAUAAUUUUCAUUAUUGUACCCACAAUUGUUUCUGUGACGCUCUUUUUUCUUGGCUAUUAUUUGGUAAAGAGAAAAGCAAGAAAGAGUCUUAAAAGUAUUCUUAGAGACAAUUGUAAGUAUUAUUGAAAGAAAAAAAAAACAUGUUAAACCUAUGCCUUUUUUAAUUAAAUUUUAAGGUAUUUAGAAACUUAAUUAAAACUCUAUUAUAUAUAUUUGAUUCAGUUGGUGAUGAAAGUGUCACUUUAGAGCCAUUGCAAUUUAGUUUGGCUGUAAUUGAAGCAGCAACCAACAACUUUUCAAAUGAUAAUAGGAUUGGCAAAGGCGGGUUUGGAGAAGUUUACAAGGUGAUAAAAUGUGGCAUAUACUUGCUUUUUUGUUCUUGUUUUUGAAAUAAAUAAUGAUUUGAUUUCCAGGGCAAUCUUUCUGAUGGACGACAAAUAGCUGUAAAAAAACUCAAAAAGUUCUAAGCAAGGCGCAAAUGAGUUUAAGAAUAAAGUUUUAUUAAUAGCCAAACUUCAACAUAGAAAUCUUGUGACAUUCAUCAAAUUUUGUCUUGAAGAACUUAAAAAAAUACUUAUCUAAGAAUAUGUGUCAAACAAAAGUCUUGAUUAUUUUUUAUUUGGUUUGACACUUGCCACCCUUAAACUCCUUAAUUACUUAAUGUUUAUAUACAAAUAUAUUAAAGGCUCAGUAAAAAAAAAAUCUAAAUUCUCUUAUAAUAACAUUUUUUAUUAAUGUUCUUGCUAAAUGAAGAAAGUAUUAAAUGUUUAUUAUAUUUUCAAGUUAUUAAAUAUAUUUAUUUUUCUAAUAUUCUCUUCAUUUAAUAUUUGAAGGAUAAAUAGAAAGUAGGAUUAAUUGCACUUUUAUUUAGAUGUGAAUUUCGAUCAUUAAUAAAGAAAGUGUGUUGAAUUGAAUAAUGCAUUUUUAUCAUUUAUCUAGUAUUAAAAGAGUACAUUAUAGCCAAAGGGUGAAACAAUUAAAAUUCAAUCAAAUAUAAAUUUAUCUGUAGCUAAACAUCAGCUAAUACAAAUUUCUAAUUAUUAAAUCUCAAUCAAAUCAAGAUAAAAAAAACGUACAAACAUUUUAUUCUAAACCAAAAAAAUCUCCCUCUUAGCAUAGCUUUUUAUAUCAAAAAAAUCUCCCUCUUAGCAUAGCCUAAGGGUGAAACAAUUAAAAUUCAAUCAAAUAUAAAUUUAUCUGUAGCUAAACAUCAGCUAAUACAAAUUUCUAAUUAUUAAAUCUCAAUCAAAUCAAGAUAAAAAAAAACGUACAAACAUUUUAUUCUAAACCAAAAAAAUCUCCCUCUUAGCAUAGCUUUUGAUAUCAAAAAAAUCUCCCUCUUAGCAUAGCCUAAGGGUGAAACAAUUAAAAUUCAAUCAAAUAUAAAUUUAUCUGUAGCUAAACAUCAGCUAAUACAAAUUUCUAAUUAUUAAAUCUCAAUCAAAUCAAGAUAAAAAAAAACGUACAAACAUUUUAUUCUAAACCAAAAAAAUCUCCCUCUUAGCAUAGCUUUUUAUAUCAUCGCAGCCCCUCUUUCGUCCAUCAAAAGUUGUCAAUGUUCAAGGUCCUGAAUUCAUAACAAGCAGCAUGCAUGUGGUUUAAUCUUGCAUAAUUUGGGUCACUAAACAAUAACAUGAUUGUGUUUUCUUUCGAACUUCUAAAUUAAUUUUCUUAUGAGUAACGAGAUUACAUAAGGACAAAGGGUCCACAAAUUAGUUAUGCCGAUUUUAUAAGAUUAUUUGUGGUUAUUUAAUUAGAAAAUGGGGAAGGUGGGUAGGUCCACUUUUGUUAAAUUAGAGAAUGGGGCCUGCCUGGGUAUCACUAGAAGACUUGUAAAUUUAUAGCUAAAUUAAUAAUUAAUAAUUGCUACAUAAUGCUAAAGAAAGUAAGUCAAGAUUCCGAAGAAGGAAAUAUCAUUUGCUGUUGCGUCCAAAUAAUUUAUCGUAUGUUUUUUCCGUUUUUGUUUAUCUUAUCUGUUUAUCAUAUCUCUUUGGGUUUUUUUCUUAGUUAACUGAAUGUUUAUCUUAUCUGUUUAUCAUAUCUCUUUGGGGUUUUUUGGUUAGUUAACCGAAUCAAACAUUGCCUAAUAUUUAUGGACCUCCAUAUGUCAUAGACUGCUAUUUCAGCUGCACUAGUUUUGGUAGUUCUUGAUUUCAAAGAUGCUAGUCUAAGAUUAGAGAAGAUAAAACCUACUGAGACACCAUCUAAUGUCUAAAUUAUAAAAAUGCCUAAAAUUAAAUACAUUCAUUAUGAAAUAUAAAAAUGAAGUUGAGACACCAUCUAAUGCUUUCUGCCUCAUUCCUUAUUAUUUUAUAUCAAAAUGAAUUUCAAUUUUUUUGAAUGAUUGUCCCAUAUCCCAUUUAUUGCAAGGACCUUCUAAAUUUAGUUUAGCACCAUAUCGAUUGAAUUAGUGUCAAUACAUAUUCCUUUCUAGCAUUUAACUUGUUCAUGUUAGAUUGCGAUAUAGCAACAUGUGCUACAAUGUAUCCAACCACCAGUGUUAUAUACUAGGAAGAAAGUUUAUAGGACUGGCUUAAUUGUUUGGCUGAGAGAUUGGAAGUUGUUAUUUUAAUUUCUUGUGGUUAAGGGUAGAUGGAAGGAUAUCAAGCAAGGGAAGAUCGUUAUGUUUUCAGCUAAACUUUUGAAGUAAAUCAUAAUUAUAUUAUUAACCAAUCUAUGAAUGAUUAAAACAGGAUAUCCCUAACAAAGGCUAUAAAUAUGUUUAGCAAGAAACACUACUAAAUUGGAAUAACACUAGAUUUCAGCAAAAUUCGUUACAAGGUUUGUGUCUUACUAUUUUAUUCUUGCAUAUGACAAAUAAAGUUGGGAAGGAAAUUUUCCAAAGGGCUGGAGAACUCAAUGUGCCAAUGGGCUUCAUGUGUAUGAAGGUGUUUUAACUUCAUUUCCUUUUAUUGUGUAUAUAGAACAACUAUCUUGUAAACUAAGUUUCUUCCCCUCCCAAAAAGACAAUUUUAGUUUGCUAUGACAUUCCUACUUGUGGCUUAUGAAUAUAUAUAUAUAUAUAUAUAUAUAUAUAUAUAUAUAUAUAUAUAUAUAUAUAUAUAUAUAUAUAUAUAUAUAUAUAUAUAUAUAUAUAUUAAUUUUUUCAUACUUGACAUUUGUCUCAUUUAUUAUAUAAAUUGUUGUAAUAAGUAAUUAAAUGAUUUUAUAAUUAUUGAAAAUAAUUAUUUAGAUUUUUGGUUUCCAUCAAUGUAUACUAAUUUGUUGCUUAAAGCUACUAGACAGUACGAAAAAACAAACCCACAAAAAAACAAAAAAAAUAUAAUAAAAUAGCACCAAUAAAAAAAAAUCAAAUCUAAGUCGGUUAACGAAAGACCGUCUUAGUUUGUCAACCAUUCUAAGACAGUCAUUCUAAUAACCGUAUUAGAUUCACAACUAUGAAGCAGACAAACUAAGACGAUUGUCUCCUUAACCAUUUUAGUAUCUCUAACAUUCUAAAUCGGUUAAAGAAAAGACCGUCUUAGGAAGUAGAAUAUACUAAGACGGGUUGUGUGCAAAAACCACCUUCGUAGAACUACCAUUCUAAAUCGGUUAUUUUAUAACUGUCUUAGAAUAGUCACAUUUUUAAGACGGUUCAACAACUGUCGUAGUAUAAGUCAUGUUAUUUUAUGACAUGUCUUUCUAAGACGAUUAAAAACCAUCUUAAAAGUUUCUAAUCAAUCGACUUAGAAAACGCUGAUUCUAGUGACAAAGAUGUUAAGUUGGUUUGAAGGACAUUCUUCUUGAUGGACUACAAAUAACAGUAAAGACACUAUCAAAAGGCUCAAAGAAAGGUGCAAAUGAGUUUCAAGAAUGAAGUUUUAUGGAUAGCAAAGUUUAACAUAGAAAUCUUGUGACAUUCAUUGGUUUUUGUAUAAAAAGAUGAAAAAAAAAUACAUAUUUAUGAAUAUGUGUCAAACAAAAACUUUGACUAUCUUUUAUUUGAUUUGACAUUUAUCACCCUUAAACAAGUUAUUUGAUUUUGAUUCAUGCAUUACACAGCACAUAAAUUUAAUUGAACAAAACUAAUGGAUUUCAAAACAUUUUCACUUACAUUUCUCAUUUAAACAUGCAGAUUUUCAAUGAUCAAAAUUGUUAAACUAGUUUAAACGUUAUAACAUUAUAACAUUAUAGGAGAAACUGAUUAAAAAAUUAUCAUCUACAUGAAUUAUCAUGAUUUAAAGUCCUACAUGGUAAUCUCAAAUCUAAUAACAUUUUAUUAGAUGAAAAUAUGAUUCCAAAAUUUGAGAUUUUGAUUUGACUAGAAUUAUUGAAAUAAAUCAAACCAAUAGAGGACAAAUAAUAUUAUUUAAUUUCUUACUUCUUCACAUAAUUUUUUUUUCUGUUAAAUUAACUAUUUGUUAUUUUUUUUAAUUUACGGUGGUUACAUGUCAGUCAUAAGGUAAUAUCUUAUUUUCCUAGUGUUUUUUUAAUGUUUGAGGUAGGCUAGAUACUCAUUUUGGUGUCAUUAAUCCCUAAAAAAUAAAAAAAAUUCAAAUUUAUGUUUCAGAGGUGUAAAAAAUACGAUAGAUAAUUCAUUAUUAAAUUAAUCCUUGAAUUUUUUUAAAAAUAUUUUCUUUUAGUAAAUAAAAAAUUUGUUUAUGUUUCAACAACGAGGUCUCUAUGAUGUUAAUUUAUUUGUCGGAAACCUAUUAACUUGGGUGCGUAAUUUCAACGAAACAUUCCUGCUCCGAUCCAUUUCAUUAGCAAACACUCAAUUGAUGCAAAGGAAUUAAUUGAUAUUGAAUAGUAACCCAUUAAUUCAAAGAGAAUAUUCGAUGCCAAACUUUGUCAUCCGUUCAUUAAUUAUUUUCUAUCUCUUGUUUUCUCUUGACUUGCAUAAUCAUUGACUUUGCAAACUGAACAAGUCUUUAUACUAUACCAUCAUAAAGGAAACGAUGAUGGAGUUGUUUACAAACCAUAAACCAAUAGCAUCCAUGGCUUCCUACAAGAUUCUCUUCCUCUUCCUCUUUGUUAGCUUCCUCAAUUUUGCAACUACUGACGCACAGGAUGAAAGAUCCACCGCUCUCUUUCUAUCCCUUUACUGCUACGAUGGCAACACUACCGCUAACAGUGCCUUCCAAUUUAACGUCAGGAGCCUCCUCUCUUCCUUGUCAUCAAACGCCCCCGGCGACAACGGAUUCUACAACACCACAGUCCCUGCACUAAACCCCUCUGUCUUCGGACUCUUCAUGUGCAGGGGUGACGUUCCUCCUCAGCUUUGUCAACAUUGCGUCCAAAAUGCAACCCAGCAACUAAGCUCACUGUGCUCACUGUCCAUUGAAGCUGUGAUUUGGUACGAUGAGUGCACGGUUCGUUAUUCCAACCGCUCCUUCUUCUCCACCGUGGACACUAGGCCUGCACUUGCCUUCACGAAUGCUACAAAUAUCUCAAACCAGGAAAGUUUCAUGCGUUCAAUGUUUUCUGUAAUGAACAUAACUGCAGAUGAAGCUGCUAAGGAUGACAAGAAGUUUGCCACAAGGCAAACAACCAUAUCUGAAUUUCAGAGCCUUUAUUGUCUUGCUCAGUGCACUCCAGAUUUGUCACCCCUUGAUUGCAGAAGCUGUCUCAGUAAAGUUAUAGGAGACCUUUCAUGGUGCUGUGAAGGAAAGCAGGGAGCGAGUGUUCUAUACCCCAGUUGUAAUGUUAGGUAUGAAUUGUACCCUUUCUACCGCUCCACAAAUACAACUAUACCACCAGCGUGGGUUCCUGCAACAAAUUUUCCCGAUGCAGAUUCACAAAUUUCAGAAGAUCCAACUUAUCUAAACCACAGUUGCCCAACCAAUGUAACUGCUUACAGCACUUUCCAAAUUUAUCUCAGUAACCUUCUCUCUUACUUAGCUUCCAAUGCCACAAAUGGGAAGAAAUAUUACAAGGACAACGUAGAAACUGUGUAUGGCCUCUUCAUGUGCCGAGGCGAUCUUCCCUCUCAACUCUGCCAACAAUGCGUCCUGAACGCAACCCACCGAAUAUCCUCAGUUUGCAAUUCACUUCAAGAGGGAAUCAUUUGGUACAGCCACUGCAUGCUUCGAUAUUCCAAUCGGAAUUUCUUCUCAGAAGUGGAAGAAAGUCCAAAUUUUGACAUGCUGAAUCUUACCAGUUCCUCCACCAGCAUCAUCCCCGGGCAAGACUACUUCACUUUUACAUUAUCAGAUACCAUAGUUAAGCUGGCGAAAGACGCAGGGGAUGCCACUGACAAAUACGUUACCAAAUCAUUAAAAUUGACUGAUUCGCAAACUCUGUAUACUCUUGUUCAAUGCACGCAGGAUUUGUCUAGUAAGGGUUGUCAGAACUGUCUGAAAGAUAUAAAUGAAAAAAUUCCAUGGUUCCGCUUGGGAAGCGUAGGGGGAAGAGUUCUAUAUCCGAGCUGCAAUCUCAGGUUUGAAUUGUUCCCAUUUUACGGGGGUAGAGGUGAAGAAACUCCGUCGCCAAUACCGGGUAGUGGUGAAGAAACUCCAUCGCCAAUGGCGGGUAAUCCUUCUACACCAGGCCUUCAAGGUAAAGUUGACAAGUAAUAUUUGUUUAUCUUAUUUUCCUUAGUCUCUUUAGUUUAAGUAGUAGUCUUUUUUGGUUAAUUUCCGGGAGAUAGAAAUUUGCUUUCUGCCACUACACUUGUAGUACAAUCAUAGCAUAUCACUGUUUUAGUUACGACUUGGUUUCCUAUUGCUACUUUUCAAGCUGACAUGUGCUAUCUUUUUGAGACGACAUCAUUUUUUCUGAAAUAGAUUCACCAUUAAAUAUUAAUAUAAUUGUUAUGGGAUGUCAUUUUGAAUAAAUAGCCCACAUGGACAGCUCGAAAAGAAACAACAAAUAAACCAAAUCUAUAAACUUAUUAUUAAAAUUUAAAAUCAUUGAUCUAGUUAGUUUAAGUGUAACAAAAAACGAAGUUAGUUCAAGUGUCAACCCCAGUCAACUAAUGGUGUCCUGGUGGCUCUUGUGUUAGCCCACACACGGAAAACUAGUCAUAACAACCAUCUUUACAACGAUCACCUGCUUCCCUCUUCUUUCAUUCUAUUCCAAAAAAACAUCCCUAGAAUCGAUCUACAAUAUUACAUCUCCAAGAAGAUCGAACAACACAAAGGCAACGAUAAUGGACAAUUGCGUAUCAAAGAUAGAAUAAAAGAUCAAAGUGGAAGUUGAAGUGUAUAUACAAAGUUCAAGGGUCAUUUGUUGGAAAAAGAAAAGUUGUGUUUGCAAUCUUGCAAUGUGAUUUAAGAGCAUCUAUAUUUGAACCUCAAAAACUUAGAGGAAUCCAGGGAAGGCUUUCUAUACAUGACUUGUUUUUCUAGCCAUUUACCAUUGAGUUUGAAGAUGCACUCAACUUCCACUUAUGCCUUUUUUUGUUUUAUACUUUAUAUCAUCAAAUAUGAAUCAUAUAUAACUAUAUCAAGACUAAUAGAGUGUAUGUUAGAGUAUAAAUGUAAGAUAAAGUGUCACGUCAGAGUAGAAAUAAAAAAGUUAGAACACUAUAUAAAUAAAAAAAAUAUUCAUAAAUUUAAGUAUUAAGAUUUUGAGUUAAAGUAUAAUGUCAAGUUCAUUUGUAUGCUUCUUCAUGAUCCAUUGUUAAUUUAUAUUCACAAAUUCUUUUUAUGAAGAAAUUUUGUCAAUCUAAUCACAUCUUUUAUUCAUGUAGAUUUUUUUCUAUCUUUUAUGUGUUUUAAGUUGAGAUUAGCAUUGUUAAUUUAAAGUCCUUCUUGCAUCAAUCUAAUACUCUAAAAUGAUUUGAAGUGAUUUAGCAUAAACCAUUUGGACACAAUCUUUAUUGAUAUGAUAAGAAGAAGGUAAAAAAAAAAAAAGGAAGAGGAAAAGUAGAUUAUUUUGAUUGGAUGUUGAUGAUGAGUUUGAUCAUUAAUUUACAAAAUAAAUAUAACAUUAAAAUUUAGAAUGAUCAAGCAAAUCAAUGUUGUAUGUCAUUCUACCUUAAAAUAUAAUUUGAAUGGUUCAAUGACUGAUUAUUUAGCACCGCCCUUAAUUAGCUUGGCCAAAAGUAUCUACUUACAAAUUCCUAAAGUUUAACAUGGACUAGAACGAGGCAUACUAUUUGGAGGAAGCAAACCACUAGUACUUCUCAUAUUAUGAAGUUGCCUAUUGUAUACUACUAUAUGUGAGCAAUAUGUUGACUGUUUUGCAGAAAAAAGAAAAGUCCGAUUGCGAACAAAAAUUUUCAUUAUUGUACCCACAAUUGUUUCUGUGACGCUCUUCUUUCUUGGCUAUUAUUUGGUAAAGAGAAAAGCAAGAAAGAGUGUUAAGACUAUUCUUAGAGAAAAUUGUAAGUAUUAUAGAAAGAAAAAAAAAACAUGUUAAACCUAUGCCUUUUUUAAGUUUCAAGGUAUUUAGAAACUUAAUUAAAAUUCUAUUAUAUAUAUUUGAUUCAGUUGGUCCUGAAGGUGUCACUUUAGAGCCAUUGCAAUUUAGUUUGGCUGCAAUUGAAGCAGCAACCAGCAACUUUUCAAAUGAUAAUAGGAUCGGCAAAGGCGGGUUUGGAGAAGUUUACAAGGUGAGAAAAUGUGGCAUAUACUUGCUUUUUUGUUCUUGUUUUUCACAUAAAUAAUGAUUUGAUUUCCAGGGCAUUCUUUUUGAUGGACGACAAAUAGCUGUAAAAAGACUCUCAAAAAGUUCUAAGCAAGGCGCAAAUGAGUUUAAGAAUGAGGUUUUAUUAAUAGCCAAACUUCAACACAGAAAUCUUGUGACAUUCAUCGGAUUUUGUCUUGAAGAACUUGAAAAAAUACUUAUCUACGAAUAUGUGCCAAACAAGAGUCUUGAUUAUUUUUUAUUUGGUUUGACCCUUGCCACCCUUAAACUCCUAAAUUAUUUAAUGUUUAUAUACACAUAUAUACAUAUAUAUUAUUUAAUUCAACUUAAUGAUCAAAUUAAAAAAAACAUCUCACACUCACAUUUCAAUGUUAAACAAGCAGAUCCUCAACGAGCAAAGAUGUUAAGUUGGUUUGAACGCUAUAACAUUAUAGGAGGAAUUGCCCGAGGAACUUAUUACUUGCAUGAAUUAUCUCGACUCAAAAUCAUACACCGUGAUCUCAAACCUAGUAAUGUUUUAUUAGAUGAAAAUAUGAUUCCAAAAAUUUCAGAUUUUGGUUUGGCUAGAAUUGUUGAAAUAAAUCAAGACCAAGGAAGUACAAAUAGAAUUGUUGGAACAUAGUAAGUUUGGAAUAAUAUUAUUCCUUAUCCUUUCACAUUUCUUGCUUCUUCACAUAGUUUAUUUUGUCUAUAUGAACAUUAUUUUUGUUGUAUUUUACAGUGGUUAUAUGUCUCCAGAAUAUGCAAUGCUUGGACAAUUUUCAGAAAAAUCAGAUGUUUUUAGUUUUGGAGUGAUGGUUCUAGAGAUUAUUUCAGGAAAAAAGAAUUUAGGCUUAUAUGAACCACAUCGUGUUGCUGAUGGCCUCUUGAGUUGUGUGAGUAUGAUAAUCUUCUAACUAUUUGGUUCCUGUGCAUUAUUGCUCAUAUGUUUCAAUUUCAAUGGUAAAUCAAAUUGAUUUAAUUGCAAAGACGUGUACAAACUUGAAUUUUUAAUUUGACAAAUUGUUACAGGUUUGGAGACAAUGGAGGGAUCAAACACCCUUAAGCAUACUAGACGCAAGUAUUAAUGAAAAUUAUUCUGAAAUUGAAGUUAUUAAAUGCAUUCAAAUUGGUUUAUUAUGUGUUCAACAAAAUCCUGAUGACAGACCCACAAUGGUUGCAAUUCUUUCUUAUCUUAGUAGUCAUUUAAUUGAAUUGCCACGUCCUCAAGAACCUGCCCUUUUCUUACAUGGUAGAAAGGAUCCUAAAGCAUUUGCACAAGAAUCAAGUUCAAGUCACAAUAUCAAUGCUUCCACUUUAUUCUCUAUUAAUGAAAUGUCUAUAAGUCAAUUUCUUCCUCGAUAGUAAAUUAUUUUCCCUUUAAGUGUUGUUGUUUAGAUCUAGUAAUGAGUGUUAGUCUUAAUGAUUGUAUCAAACUUGAAAAGCUUUAAUAUAAUGGAUAUCUAUAAUGUCAGUAUGAUUCCAAUUUUCAUGCCAAGGAUCAGUUGGUCACGGUCUGAAAUAUCUUUAUUCUUUGUGACCUAUAACUAUUACCGUUAAACAUACCAAAAUGCAAAUUUGAUGAAAAUAUUUCCUAUGACUUUUAGUUUUCUUACACAUCAUACUAAUAAUAAUUUUUAAUUGAUUAAUUAACAAUACAUAGUUAUUAAGUUUUAUUAUAAAAGUCAUCAAACUUAUUGUUAAUAAUUAAUUAUUAGAUGAUAAUGUAGAAAACUUUUAUACUAUAAAUACAUAUACCACUUUCUCUAAAAUUAAGAAAUGCAUUAGAAUAUAUUACUAGAAUUUCUCCUUUCAUUAACUUAAAUUUAACAUAACUCCCACAAAGCAUAAAAUCCAAGUCACAAAGUAACUGACUUUGACCUUACACAUCUCAUGUCCGUCCCUACUUUCAGCAUAUAGUUAUACUACUAAGUUUCACCUUUCACGGCUAUAUGCAAAAGGUGUAUUGCUAUGUGUGAUUAAGUUAAGUGCAUAACAUUAUUACAGCAAAAAACUAAGAAAAAAGCCUAGAACCAAACUCAUGAGCCAUUUCUGAGGGAAUAGUUGGUGUGAAGAAGAAGGAGUCUCGCACAGAUUAUAACCAUACCACGUGCCAUUGGGGAUGGAGGUGUUGAAAUCGAAAGUAAUAGGCUCUGAGUUGUAGCCAUAGAUUUUCACACUCUCAGGCUCCCAACCUUCCUCUGCCCCAGAUCUAUAUAGGUACACAUAGCAAAUUGGAG
rnacentral:lncRNA from 1 species